AUUGAACGCUAGCGGCAGGCCUAACACAUGCAAGUCGAACGCGUGGCGGACGGGUGAGUAAUGUAUGGGAAACUGCCUGCUGACGGGGGAUAACUACUGGAAACGGUAGCUAAUACCGCAUACCAUCAGAUCUGCCCCGAUCGGAUUAGCUAGUAGGUGGGGUAACGGCUCACCUAGGCGACGAUCCCUAGCUGGUCUGAGAGGAUGACCAGCCACACUGGAACUGAGACACGGUCCAGACUCCUACGGGAGGCAGCAGUGGGGAAUAUUGAACAAUGGGCGCAAGCCUGAUGCAGCCAUCCCGCGUGUAUGAAGAAGGCCUUCGGGUUGUAAAGUACUUUCAGCGGGGAGGCGUUACCCGCAGAAGAAGCACCGGCUAACUCCGUGCCAGCAGCCGCGGUAAUAC
rnacentral:rRNA from 1 species